UUUCUGAUUAUUAUACCCCCGCACAACAAAGUUGUAAGGGGGGUAUACUGGAAUCAGCUUGUCCGUCCGUCCGUCCGUCCGUCCGUCCGGCUGUCCGUCCGUCCGGCCGUCCGUCGGUUUUUUCUUGUCCGCCCAAUAACUUAAGAUUCCUUUGACCCUUAGUCUUCAUAUUUGGCAUGGAGGUUAGUCAUGAUUAGUAGAUGACCCCUAUUGAUUUUGAGGUCACUAGGUCAAAGGUCAAGGUCACAGGGGCCUUGACUUCAAAAAGCUUGUCCGCCCAAUAACUUAAGAUUCCUUUGACCUACAGUCGUCAUAUUUCGCAUGGAGAUUAGUCAUGAUAAGUAGAUGACCCCUAUUGAUUUUGAGGUCACUAGGUCAAAGGUCAAGGUCACAGGGGCUUUGACUUCAAAAAGCUUGUCCGCCCAAUAACUUAAGAUUCCUUUGACCUACAGUCGUCAUAUUUGGCAUGGAGGUUAGUCAUGAUUAGUAGAUGACCCCUAUUGAUUUUGAGGUCACUAGGUCAAAGGUCACAGGGGCCUUGACUUCAAAAAGCUUGUCCGCCCAAUAACUAAAGAUUCCUUUGACCCACAGUCGUCAUAUUUGGCAUGGAGGUUAGUCAUGAUUAGUAGAUGACCCCUAUUGAUUUUGAGGUCACUAGGUCAAAGGUCAAGGUCACAGGGGCCUUGACUUCAAAAAGCUUGUCCGCCCAAUAACUUAAGAUUCCUUUGACCCACAGUCGUCAUAUUUGGCAUGGAGGUUAGUCAUGAUUAGUAGAUGACCCCUAUUGAUUUUGAGGUCACCAGGUCAAAGGUCAAGGUCACAGGGGCCUUGACUUCAAAAAGCUUGUCCGCCCAAUAACUUAAGAUUCCUUUGACCCACAGUCGUCAUAUUUGGCAUUGAGGUUAGUCGUGAUUAGUAGAUGACCCCUAUUGACUUUGAGGUCACCAGGUCAAAGGUCAAGGUCACAGGGGCCUUUACUUCAAAAAGCUUGUCCGCCCUAUAACUUAAGAUUCCUAUGACCCACAGUCUUCAUAUUUGGAAUGGAGGUUAGUCAUGAUUAGUAGAUGACCCCUAUUGAUUUUGUGGUCACCAGGUCAAAGGUCAAGGUCACAGGGGCCUUGACUUCAAAAAGCUUGUCCGCCCAAUAACUUAAGAUUCCUAUGACCCACAGUCUUCAUAUUUGGAAUGGAGGUUAGUCAUGAUUAGUUGAUGACCCCUUUUGAUUUUGAGGUCACUGGAUCAAAGGUCAAGGUCAUAGGGACUUUGACUUCAAAAAGUUUGUCCACCCAUUAACUUAAGAUUCCUUUGACCCACAGUCUUCAAAUUUGGCAUGGAUGUUGAUCAUGACUAUAAGGUGACCCCUAUUGAUUUUGAGGUCACUGGGUCAAAGUUCAAGGUCACAGGGACCUUGACAAAAAAAAAGCUUUUCUUCUCAAUUGCUAAAGAAUGUCCUGUCUGCAAUGUAUUGAUUUUGACAUUUUCACAUUUGAAGCAUGUAGAAUACAUAACUUAGCAAUGCACUGGCUUAGUAACCUCAGAUUUGGCAGGGAGGUUGUCCUUGCGCUCUAAAUGGCCACUGUUGAUUCUGACAAAGUGGUAUGCGGGGGUAUUCACGCCAAGAUAGUGGCAGUUCUAGUUUAAAU